GAUGAACGCUGGCGGCGUGCCUAAUACAUGCAAGUCGAACGGAGGUUGUAGCAAUACUUCCUCAGUGGCGAACGGGUGAGUAACGCGUUGGUGACCUGCCCCAAAGAGGGGGAUAACAGCCCGAAAGGGUUGCUAAUACCCCAUGUGGUCAUCGGGAUUAGAUGCCUGAUGACGAAAGGAGUAAUUCACUUUGGGAGGGGCCUGCGUGCCAUCAGCUAGUUGGUAAGGUAACGGCUUACCAAGGCUAUGACGGCUAGGGGACCUGAGAGGGUGGCCCCCCACAAUGGAACUGAAACACGGUCCAUACACCUACGGGUGGCAG
rnacentral:rRNA from 1 species